UUUUUAUUUAAUCCUGACGCGUUGAAAAAAUUAUUGAUCUCCAAUUUCCUGGUAUUAUGUAGUUUGUAUACGGCAGCAAUAUUUGCUUUCGGAGACUACUUUGUAGUUUGAAGAUCGAAGCAUCGCCCACACAACGGCAGCAAGCCAACGAUCAUCUCCGGAUCCAUUUUAUUUGGAGCUUUUUUGGCUUGCAGAUCUGAGAGAAGAACAAGGAUCUGCCCUCUUCUGCAAUCUAAUGGCGGCCUCACUAACAGUGGGGGAUGGUUCGCACAGGCCUUCUUCCAAACCUUGUUCGAUAAGGCCAGCGACAAAGCCAUCCGACUGUUUGCCGAGCGCUGGGGUUGCGCGGAGAAUAUGGAAAAGCUGUGCACGUCGCUGCUGGAGACUCAAAUCAUCCUUGACGAGGUACAUAUUAGUCGUAGCGACAACACCAAGUGGAAGACAUUGAUGAAGAAACUCAAGGAUGCUGCUUAUGAAUUAUGAUGCUGAGGACUUGAUAGAUGAGUUCCAAUUCCAUGUACUCAGGCAGAAGAUCAAAGGUGAAGAAGAGGACAAGGCCAGUGGCUCCAGUGGCCUUCCAAACAUUUUGUCUGCUGCAAAAAAAAAAAGUUGUUUGGUUCUUCUCAUGAUAUGGGAGCUAGAGUGAGGGAGAUUCAAGAAAGGCUGGAGAGAAUUGCUAAAAGUAUGAAGAGCAUCAUGAGUGUGUUGUUACCAAAUGAUAGAGGGAAGCAACCUGAGGUGAAGUUUCAGGAUUGUAUGAUAAAUCAAGGAAACGAAGGUGAAUCAAUUUACCAAUAUGUCCAGAUAACUCCAGCAAGCCACAAAAACUUAAAUCCAGAACGCGAAUGCUUCUUAGUUUUUCGAAGAGGCUAUCGGGAGGUGAA